rnacentral:lncRNA from 1 species
CUCUUUAAUACCGUAUUUCUAGUUAAUGUGGAUCAUUUUAGGGCCUGAUUCAGAAUCCUCUGAGGUCACUUUAGAGACUCAUGAAGAUAUAACUGAACUUUAAUGAGGCUUACUUUCAACCACAACUGUUCAAGGAGAGGAGGGAAGGAAGGAAGGAAGGAAGGAAGGAAGGAAGGAAGGAAGGAAGGAAGGAAGGAAGGAAGGAAGGAAAAGUAUCAUUAGAUUAGAUUUAAAUUAAUCUGAAAUUUUAAAAUGGCAACUACGAUAUUACAGCUCAAGGGUGGAAAGAGAAAGAUCCAAAUGACCCAGGGUGCAGCCUCUGGCAGUCAGCUGCAAAGCCAGGAGAUACUGAAGAGCAGCAGCAGCAGCAGCAAGGAGGACAAAACGCUGUUGUUUUUUUCCCUUUCCUCACGUAGGCAGUACCAUUUCCUUGGGAGAUAUAAAUUGCAGUGAAGACAAACAAAAAUACUGCUGAGAACUAAAAGGAGAGGAUGCAACAUUGAGUCACAGAUACAGGAACAUGAAUUUUUAAAGGGCCUGAGGCAAGGAUUUGGGAAGUUAACAAUACCACAGACACCGGCAAUGGGUUCAGGAGUAAACAAAGUUCACUUGAAAGACAACCACCAAUUAAGACAAAGUGGAUUUCUAAUAUGUACUCUGAAUUUGCAUUUCUUUACCAAAAAUUACAUUAAAAACUGUUCAUUGUCCACAGAUGUAUAAGGUACAAUUGCCUCCAAUAGAAUUUAUUUUGUGUAAGUGUGACUAACAGAGAUCUCUCUACUGUGAGCCAUCUCUCCCAGAGAACAGUUGGAAAUGCCUCAGUAAAAAUCUCAUCUGUGCAAAAAAUAUCCUGCAUGUACUGAAAAGUGCAAGGUCCUAGGCACUGGGGUUACACCAUGGACAAAGAUAUUUGGGAAGGACUGUCCUGUGUUCAUCCUUCCUUUCAGUUUUUGACCUGCACAAAAUACCCAGAAAUUUAUAUUUCUUUCUUUAAAGCCUAAAUGUAAAUAAUGAAGUAGUUGCUCUGUGUGGGGCUAUCACUAUCUGUUUAAAAUAAAUGUUUUUGAAAGACGUGGAGCA